UGGGGUGUGGCUCAGGGGUAGAGCGCAUGCUUAGCAUGCAUGAGGUUCUGGGUUUAAUCCCCAGCACCUCCA
rnacentral:tRNA from 1 species